CAUGGUAAAUGUUUUACCUGGGGCAAGAUAUCAGUCUGAAUAUUCCUAGAAUGUCUUUUUUUUCCCCAACUGAAAUGCAUUUUUUCUGCCUAUCAAUCACUGAAAUAUAGAAGAGAUUUCGACUUGGCAGGGUAUCCAUUAUCAUUUGUGUCCUUUUUUUCCCCUCAUGUUCUGUAGAAGAUACAAUUUUUUUGGUUUUUGCAUGUUGUAUAAUGCUUCUACUCCUGGUUUUAUUUUUUAAUACACAGAAUAUAAACAGAGUACUGCUGGGUAAUGAGAGGGCAACUGCCAAGCUGCUCUUUAAUGUAAUGAAAUCAGAGCUUGAGAAAGACAAAUUGCAUCAACUGAAAUGGCAAGAGAGAGUCAAGGUCUGGAAGCUCAUCCAAAAGAACUGCAUAGUUCAGAGUUUCAGGUCAGAAAUUUUGCAGUCUUAUUUUGGACAAUGAAUAACGCAAAGUGACUAGUUUCUAUAAAAGUAAUACUUUAUCAUUUUUUCUUUAUACAUAUCACAUAUGAUAUCACAUAUAUCAUGUUUCCAUUAUACAUAUCUUUUUUCCAUCCUGCAUUUCCAUCCUGCAGAGAAUUUACGGCAAGUGAAGAAAUACAGAAUCCCCCAACUGUGAAAACAGAAAUGGAAAAUAUGAUAAAGGAGCAGAUUGUACUUAGUGAACAGAGACUGAGAGUUUUGCAGCACAUUGGCACCUUGUUGCCUCCAAAACAUACACAAUCUGACAUAAUAAAUGAAUGGUACAGAACUCUGGAGAAUUUAAACAGGAGUAUUGGUAAGUUGAGAAAUCAUAAAACCAGUUUGGAAUUCAAGCAAUCCUUUCUUUUUCCCCAGGCAACAAUGAGGCAGACAGUUGCUGUGAAAGUGCAUGUUUGCUCAAUUCUUUAUUCUAUAUGUUCCCACUUACGUUCUCUGUUGCUUUGAGCUGGCUACUAGGAAGACCCAAAGAAGCUGCCUGUGACAUCACUUUCCUUUGGCCAGUGCAAACACUUAGUCAUGACACACCUAAUGUGGAGUGCAUGGAGAAAAUGCGCAUCCAGUAUGAGCUGGUCCAGGACAAAUGUCAGGAAAAAGCGCAGGUCUGCAAGAUGACCCUGUUGGAUAUUUGCACAGUAGAAGCUGUUGAAAUUGUGCAUUCCAACAUGCUCCAGAUGACUGAGAAACUAAAACAUAGGUUUGAAGAACAACUGGAGCACAUGAAUAGUGAUUUUAAGGAGAUGGCUAAAUGGCAUGAGCAGCAUUGUGAAGGCUUGUACAACUAUGUUCAGGAUGCCAUGGCUCUCUGGGAUGUCCAUCAGCUCCAACUGUCCCAGCAGGAAGAUGUACUUCAGAAGAAAGUAGAUGAAUGCAGAUGGGAACAGGAUAACAUAAUUCAGGUAUAAACAUAAAAACAAGGGUGUGCUGUAAAGAAAGGACUUCUUAAUGCAAAGAACCCUCUGGAAUUCAAAAUAGCUGCUAUAAAAUUAAAAACAUCAUAUCUGACUUUUGUAUUGGAAUUUCUACUUUUCAGUUUCAUUCAGUCAAGUGCAUUUUUGCUAACUCCUUGAUUCACACUGAAUGGACAGUCCUGUCUUAUUCUUGAUAGGGCAACAGAGUUAAGGAUCACUGCUGCUUUCUGUA
rnacentral:lncRNA from 1 species